rnacentral:tRNA from 1 species
GCCAGCGUAGCUCAAUUGGUAGAGCACUCGCUUGACAAUUCGGUGGUCAUGGGUUCGAUCCCAUGCGGUCGAAUUGGUA